AUACUUACCUGGACGGGGUCGACGGGGGAUCAAGAAGCCUCAUGGCCUAGGCCAGUGGCUCGCAUUGCACAUGGUGGGUGCUCCCCAAGUGGGAGAGUGGACGUCAUAAUUUGUGGUAGAGGGGGUACGCGUUCGCGCGGCCCCUG
rnacentral:snRNA from 1 species